GAGGGGCAGCACAGGUAGCAAUACUGGGUGGCGACCGGCAAACGGGUGCGGAACACGUACGCAACCUUCCCAUAACUGGUGAAUAGCCUUCCGAAAGGGAGAUUAAUACACCGUAACAUAACGAGAUGGCAUCAUCUUGUUAUUAUAGCUUCGGCGGUUUUGGAUGGGCGUGCGCCUGAUUAGGUAGUUGGCGGGGUAACGGCCCACCAAGCCUCCGAUCAGUAACUGGUGUGAGAGCACGACCAGUCACACGGGCACUGAGACACGGGCCCGACUCCUACGGGAGGCAGCAGUAAGGAAUAUUGGUCAAUGGACGCAAGUCUGGACCAGCCAUGCCGCGUGAAGGAUGAAGGCCCUCUGGGUUGUAAACUUCUUUUAUCUGGGACGAAAAACGGGCUUUCUAGCUCACUUGACGGUACCAGAGGAAUAAGCACCGGCUAACUCCGUGCCAGCAGCCGCGGUAAUACGGAGGGUGCAAGCGUUAUCCGGAUUUACUGAGUUUAAAGGGUGCGUAGGUGGGUAGGUAAGUCAGUGGUGAAAUCUUCAAGCUUAACUUGGAAACUGCCAUUGAUACUAUCUAUCUUGAAUACUUUGGAGGUAAGCGGAAUAUGUCAUGUAGCAGUGAAAUGCUUAGAUAUGACAUAGAACACCAAUUGCGAAGGCAGCUUACUACACAGUUAUUGACACUGAGGCACGAAAGCGUGGGGAUCAAACAGGAUUAGAUACCCUGGUAGUCCACGCCCUAAACGAUGGAUACUCGACAUUAGCGAUACACUGUUAGUGUCUGAGCGAAAGCAUUAAGUAUCCCACCUGG
rnacentral:rRNA from 1 species